rnacentral:rRNA from 1 species
UACGUAGGGUGCAAGCGUUAAUCGGAAUUACUGGGCGUAAAGCGUACGCAGGCGGUUGUGCAAGACAGAUGUGAAAUCCCCGGGCUCAACCUGGGAACUGCAUUUGUGACUGCACGGCUGGAGUGCGGCAGAGGGGGGUGGAAUUCCGCGUGUAGCAGUGAAAUGCGUAGAUAUGCGGAGGAACACCGAUGGCGAAGGCAAUCCCCUGGGCCUGCACUGACGCUCAUGCACGAAAGCGUGGGGAGCAAACAGG